ACUAGAAGUCCAUGUACUAGAGAUUCACACUGUUAAUAUUUUAUUCAGUGGCAUAUAAGUUCUACGGAUUCGUGAAGAGGUAUGCAUCAACCACAAAAAAUGUUUGUCUUCUAUACAUAAACAAAAGAAUAUAAUACAACCUUCAGUCAUGACAGAAGGAUUUGGGAAUCCAUAUAAAUCAAACAUCAUAUUUGUUUUUUAGACAAAUUCCAU